GACGAACGCUGGCGGCGUGCUUAACACAUGCAAGUCGAACGAUGAAGCCCAGCUUGCUGGGUGGAUUAGUGGCGAACGGGUGAGUAACACGUGAGUAACCUGCCCUGGACUCUGGGAUAACCCCGAGAAAUCGGAGCUAAUACCGGAUAGGACCUUUCCUCGCAUGAGGUUUGGUGGAAAGUUUUUCGGUUUGGGAUGGACUCGCGGCCUAUCAGCUUGUUGGUGAGGUAAUGGCUCACCAAGGCGUCGACGGGUAGCCGGCCUGAGAGGGUGGACGGGCAAACUGGGACUUAGACACGGGCCAGACUCCGACGGGAGGCAGGAGUGGGGAAAAAUGGACCAAGGGCGCAAGGCUGAUGCAACAACGCCGGGUGGGGGAUGAACGCCUUCGGGUUGUAAACCGCUUUUAGGAGGGAAGAAGGCUUCGGGUGACGGUACCUGCAGAAAAAGGACCGGCUAACUACGUGCCAGCCGCCGCGGUAAAAC
rnacentral:rRNA from 1 species